rnacentral:rRNA from 1 species
AGUCGAGGGGCAGCAUUUUAGUUUGCUUGCAAACUAAAGAUGGCGACCGGCGCACGGGCUGAGUAACACGCUAUCCAACCUGCCGAUAACUCGGGGAUAGCCUUUCGAAAGAAAGAUUAAUAUCCGAUAGUAUAUUAAAACCGCAUGGUUUUACUAUUAAAGAAUUUCGGUUAUCGAUGGGGAUGCGUUCCAUUAGUUUGUUGGCGGGGUAACGGCCCACCAAGACUACGAUGGAUAGGGGUUCUGAGAGGAAGGUCCCCCACAUUGGAACUGAGACACGGUCCAAACUCAUACGGGAGGCAGCAGUGAGGAAUAUUGGUCAAUGGACGAGAGUCUGAACCAGCCAAGUAGCGUGAAGGAUGACUGCCCCUAUGGGUUUGUAAACUUCUUUUAUAUGGAAAUAAAGUAUUCCACGUGUGGAAUUUUGUAUGUACCAUAUGAAUAAGGAUCGGCUAACUCCGUGCCAGCAGCCGCGGUAAUACGGAGGAUCCGAGCGUUAUCCGGAUUUAUUGGGUUUAAAGGGAGCGUAGGUGGAUUGUUAAGUCAGUUGUGAAAGUUUGCGGCUCAACCGUAAAAUUGCAGUUGAAACUGGCAGUCUUGAGUACAGUAGAGGUGGGCGGAAUUCGUGGUGUAGCGGUGAAAUGCUUAGAUAUCACGAAGAACUCCGAUUGCGAAGGCAGCUCACUAGACUGCAACUGACACUGAUGCUCGAAAGUGUGGGUAUCAAACAGGAUUAGAUACCCUGGUAGUCCACACAGUAAACGAUGAAUACUCGCUGUUUGCGAUAUACAGUAAGCGGCCAAGCGAAAGCAUUAAGUAUUCCACCUGGGGAGUACGCCGGCAACGGUGAAACUCAAAGGAAUUGACGGGGGCCCGCACAAGCGGAGGAACAUGUGGUUUAAUUCGAUGAUACGCGAGGAACCUUACCCGGGCCUUAAAUUGCAUUUGAAUAAUCUGGAAACAGGUUAGCCGCAAGGCAAAUGUGAAGGUGCUGCAUGGUUGUCGUCAGCUCGUGCCGUGAGGUGUCNGGCUUAAGUGCCAUAACAAGCGCAACCCUUAUCUUUAGUUACUAACAGGUCAUGCUGAGGACUCUAGAGAGACUNCCGUCGUAAGAUGUGAGGAAGGUGGGGAUGACGUCAAAUCAGCACGGCCCUUACGUCCGGGGCUACACACGUGUUACAAUGGGGGGUACAGAAGGCAGCUACCUGGCGACAGGAUGCUAAUCCCAAAAACCUCUCUCAGUUCGGAUCGAAGUCUGCAACCCGACUUCGUGAAGCUGGAUUCGCUAGUAAUCGCGCAUCAGCCAUGGCGCGGUGAAUACGUUCCCGGGCCUUGUACACACCGCCCGUCAAGCCAUGAAAGCCGGGGGUACCUGAAGUACGAACCGCAAGGAG